rnacentral:rRNA from 1 species
GACGAACGCUGGCGGCGUGCUUAACACAUGCAAGUCGAACGCUGAAGCUCAGCUUUUGUUGGGUGGAUGAGUGGCGAACGGGUGAGUAACACGUGAGUAACCUGCCCCCUUCUUUGGGAUAACGCCCGGAAACGGGUGCUAAUACUGGAUAUUCACUGGUCUUCGCAUGGGGGUUGGUGGAAAGGGUUUUUCUGGUGGGGGAUGGGCUCGCGGCCUAUCAGCUUGUUGGUGGGGUGAUGGCCUACCAAGGCUUUGACGGGUAGCCGGCCUGAGAGGGUGACCGGUCACAUUGGGACUGAGAUACGGCCCAGACUCCUACGGGAGGCAGCAGUGGGGAAUAUUGCACAAUGGGCGCAAGCCUGAUGCAGCGACGCCGCGUGAGGGAUGGAGGCCUUCGGGUUGUGAACCUCUUUCGCCCAUGGUCAGGCCGCAACAAUGGUUGUGGUGAGGGUAGUGGGUAAAGAAGCGCCGGCUAACUACGUG